UCACAAAUCACGAAAUCACAAAUGAUGUGACUACUGGGCGGCCAGAUGGGCCGACCUGGACCAAGAUCGGCGGCCCAUCUGGAGGCCACCAGCUCCUGCUUCGGGCCGAAAGAAGGGAGGCACAGCUGCCAGGCCGCUAAAGCGGUUACCACCUCCUAAGAAGCCCCGAAGCCUCACUAUUUCCAGACCCUCUCACUGUUCUCCUCCUCCUUCUUCAGAGAGGAUUUCCUGAACGAACCACUGAGGCGCCGGAGCAGGGGUCGUCGCAGUUCAUCCCGGGAAAUUGGUAUAGAGAAUUUGACGGACGAGAUUAGGAUUGUGUGAGCAAAUCACGAUCAAUAAGUUCAAGUGAGCUGCUGUAGUCUGUGCCAAUGUCUAGAGUUCCAUUGAAUUGGUUGCCCCUCAACUUCCUGCAUCAACAAGAUCAUCAGUUUACGUACGGAUGCAGGUCAUCUAUAGAAUUUGGGUGAAACUUUGAUAUUCCCUAUAUUUGUAUGCAUGAGAGAGAGAGAGAGAGCCAUUCAACCAAGCAAUACUCACGCUGUCUGUAAUGGUGGAAAGCUGAAUAGAGCACUUGGAAGCUGCCCUUCAAUUUUUAAGUAUUCCAAGUAUCUGUAGUUAAGAAGGAUUGGAAGAUUCAUGAAAAAGUUAUGUAUUAAGUGGCCUGCAGGCUGCGGGUAAUUCUACCAUACCUAAUGUUGCAAUACAUUGCUCUUCGGAAGUUUCUAAGGAAGAAUGGAUCUACUUUACAGAAUGCAAGCAACAUUUUUCAUUUAACAUGCA